ensembl:lncRNA
AUGCGAGUUAUAGAAACUAGUCAUCCGGGAUCAAAGCAAGUUUUGUGCUUGUUUACACGGCCAGCAACAAGUGAAAAGCCGGUCUGGCGGCGUAGACCUCGGCCCUUGACUAUGUUGUAUCGUGCUAGCUUUACUGAACUUCUGUUUUUCACAGUUGCGUUUUUUAUUUUCCUGACUAUGACUGAGCUUUCUUUCACUUUUCCAAAUGGCGCUUUAGGAAACACAGCAUACAUUUCCUUCUGUAGCUUCCGUGUCCAUCCUGCGCUACCUGUCGCACCGCCCCGGGCUCGCGAUGGUUGUCCACUGAAGUGGGCGCCAGCGAAUGCUGAGCAGGCUGGAGAGACUGAGGCCCGCCUCGGCGUCCUGUGAUUGGCAGCCAGACGGGACUGAGGCCGGAUGGAGCCAAUGUCAAACGAGCCGGAAAGCAACACAUCAGAGGGAGAUGAGAAAGGGUGAGACGCCCGCCAUGUGUGUGUGUGUGUGUGUGUGUUCUACAUCUGCACUAACUUUGAUGUCAACUUGAAAGGAAAGAAGAGAUAAAAAUUGAUUGUGACAGAUGAAAGACUGAUGUUUUUACUGAUGGAUGAAUGGACGGAUACAAAAGUGCGUUAACACACCCUCACAGUUGAAGAGGACACACACACGUGCGAGUAUUUGUGUAGAGGAGAACUCACCUGAAGGGCCCAGUGGGCUGAUAUGAAUGAGAAAAGAAAAUGAUGGUUGAAUGCAAGUCAACAGUCAAAGCCAGCACUCCAGGAGGGGUUCUGGCUCGAGUCUAAAGACAUUUCAAAAGUGAUUCCGGAAUGUUUGGAAUCCUGAGACUUUAAAAGUUAGAGGGGCCUGACACAAGAGGUAGAACAGCAGUUUGUGGUGCCAUUUUCUUGAAUGUUAUUUUUCCAUCAUAUCACAAAGGCAUCUCAAAUAGUUCCUCGACUGCUCAUCACCAUUCCUGACAGUGUUUGUCCACUUCAUGGAAAACGUCUGAUGGCUGGGAGCCACAUUUCAGUUCUUUUCUUUGUGCUUCCCUCUCACACAUCUAGUCUGGGCUGGUAGGAUGGACCAAAUACGCCUCAGAUAUGUUUAUGCAGAAAAACUCACCCACUAUUUUAGCAAAAAAGUCUCCGAAAUCACAUUUACUGUAAGUCAGGGAUGUGUCUCCCCCCUCCUUCAGUAUAUAUUAGCAGAACUUCCCACCACCUAAAGGAUUUUACAACCAGUGAGGACACUUGGAUAAAGAGGUCAGUGUAUUCUCAUCAUUCAGACACAGAAUAAAGAAAGAUGACCUUGUCACCUUUUGUCAGGAUAAUCCCACAAAACUACUUAGUUGUAAUGCAAUAACCACCGGCCUUCUAGUGGAACCAGACCUUUGACCUUUGGCCACUCCGUUGCUAUGGUUACCCUCAUGUUUUUAGCCUCCGGUGUACCUGUGGUUGUAAUUGGGUUUGGCAGGGGUCCCGCUAGCUUGUCUGUAUUUGAUAUGCACGGGCGUAUCUGCACAGGUGGGCUUGAGGAAUUGAAAAUAAAAGCAUUUAUGUGUGUGAGUGUGUGUGUGUCAGUGUGUGUGUGUGAGUGUGAGUGUGCGCGCGCAACCUGCCAGCGUAGAUUAGUUUAGCAGAGAGAGCUGGAUUAGAAGCGCUGAGAGCAGAUGGAGCCACAGAACACAGACAACAGUUUUAGGAUGUGAUAGUCGAUGUGACAACAGCAGCGGAUUUUUGCCAUGUGCUUGUACGCAUGUGCACGUUUCCCUGCCAGACAGCACGCACGUGGACCUGCCUCAUGCCUCAGCUCCUCCCUACUGUAAAUUCCGACUCACUGAGUUUUUCUGGGAUACACACACAAGGACACAUGACGGCUGGAGUGCAGGGCGGGUGAAAAUGUGUUUGACAGGUUUAGGGGACGAGAUGUUUGAGUGAGAAAUUUAAUAAAAAUGUUGCAUUCAGACCCAAAUCUCGAAGAUCUAGGCGACCGUAUACCCUAAAGCCAGUGGCUGAAGCUGAAACAGCCUGCUUGAAUCAGCCGCAGCCUUCUCUCUCAUUUUCACAGUUCCAAUAAGCUACAGCCUAAAGAUAUGUUAAAGAAUAGUUUUUUUAAAUCUGCGUGAUGAUUGAGGGGAAAUAAAAGCUGCAGUACAGUCAAAGGUUAAAGAGUUUGACCAUCCCUUCGGACGGGCCUUUGUUUUAGAUUAUCUGCUGCUUCCAUUUGGUGCUUUCAACCUGAAGGGAGAAGUUAAGGGAGCAUAAAGUCAAACAGCAGCAACACAGGUCAAGGGGUGUGGUUAAACCCGGGUGAACACAUUAACAGGCCACAGACGCCCCUCACACAUCCACCAUGAGGGCUGGAUUUGGCUGCAGAGCCGAGAACAAUCACCACAAGAGUCAGACUCAGGACAGCGAGGAAAGCUGGGGACAAUGUGUUGACUGCUUUUGAAUCACCGCAAGCAAGACUUCGAACGUCACAUGACUGGCGUCCCUCUAAACGUGCACUACACUAACAGCACUGCAUGUCUCAAGUGCACGAUCGGGGUCCAUUGUGUGUAGAGUAGCAAAUACUGGAAUUACUUGUCUGGAAGCUACAGAGAGGGCUCAACGGGGUACAACACAAAUAAUUAUUACAAUAAUAGUUUAGAUUUGUGUGUGUGUGUGUGUGUGUGUGUGUGCCCCGCACAGCCUCUACGUGCGACCCACUUGCUGAGAUGGGGAGCUUUAUUGACUCUAUGCCAUUUUGUACAGUGUGAAUUUGGGAUUUGUUCCCUAUGACUGGAAGCAUGUCAGGCCGCACGCCAACGUUUCUUGUCGUGCACUGUGAGGACAGCAGCACACACACCUGCAGCGAUGCCUGAUGCUACCAACAGUUUUCGCGCAGGCCGGAUAAACCUCUCCAAUUAACAUCCAUAAGACCCAGCAGGUGGCGAGGAUUAAUGCAGCAUCCAUAUAUUAAGACAGGAGAGAGAAAGAGUCACGGCUCCCCGAGGUCCUCGGGUGUGUGUGAGAUGUAGGAGGACGCUUAAGAGAGCUGUAGUCACGAGCAACCACCUCUGAGCUUCAUAUUAAAUAAAUGCCGAGGACAGAAUUGGAAGAGCUACUCAGUUGACAGGUGUUUUCCUUCCAAAGCGGAAUUUGCAAAGCUGGAUUAUUAAAAUGACCGUUUAGGAAUAACAUGUCUGUGUCUUUCUUAUACAGUAUAUACAUGUCUAAACAUGAACAUCACAUGGUCUCAGAAGGCUGCUGGUCAGUCUUAAGGUGAACCAAGAAGCACCCCGGUGGGCAACUUUAGCCCUGGAAAAACUCUGAAGAAUCCUUUUUUUUAGACAGGAAAGCAGGACUGGAACCUCAGAACGGUCCCCUCCUCCAUUCUGUAGCAGAAGGAAGGGAUCAAAUUGGCCAAAGCUCACAUAGAGGUGGGAAAACAACAACAAAUCUCAGAUAUACAUGUUGUUGUGGAACUCAAACCAGGGGAAUCAGUAUUUCUGUGAGUCUUGGCAUCCUUUUGCUAUUUUGUUGUUGUUGUUGUUGUUGUUUCAACAGCUUCCUAACUCUGGGAGAGAACAUAGAACAAACCCCAAAAACACGUUGCUUUCUCCUUCUUCAUCCACUGAUGCGUCUGACAGAUAACUGACACUUUGGAAAUUGCCUCAAGGUGCUGCUGAACCUCCAGACUGACGCCUCAUAAAGUAUCGCAUCGUCAGCAAAAUGUCAGAGCUGCCGGUGGAAAUCAGAACCGGCGAGAGACGUGAAAGAAAAUGACAGAAUGUAAUCGACAGUUACCAUGUGAAUGGUUCAUGUAGAGUAAAGCAAAUGUGAGAGCUUACUGGGUAAGAAGCUCCAUAAGUAUCAUGAUAUCAGUGUUUUAAGCUGCUGUUGACCUUUAUUGGUAAUAUGUUGGAGGUAAAUGUUGCACUUUUACCUUUUCAAGUUUGUCCACGUCCCUUCAAAAAUUCAUUGGAAUACUAGAUUUGUUGGCCUACUUCAACAGUAUAGCAAAACUAAAUAUAAUAUGCAAACUUACAAUACUGCUUAUUACUGUCUGUAAUGAGUAUUUAA